rnacentral:lncRNA from 10 species
GUGAGUCACCGCACUGGACUCUAUUGUCUAUUUUUAUAGUUUCUAUUGUCUUGAGUUUCCCUAGAAACGCCUUGUAAAAUAGAGUCUGAACUUUGCAAUUCUUUCAACUGUAAUUCGCUUUUAUUAUACAGGAGCCUUGUUGAUUUAGUGUUAAUGUGUAAAGGGAGGAAAAGCUUUCUGUAAUCCUGUUAAUCUGAUACCCUGAGCUGUGCCCUUCACAAAUAUAUAAUUCUCAGUACGUUUUCUCACCUUAGAUGAGACAGGAAGGGUAGAGGGGACUGGAGUUGGCUAAGUUCUCUUUCUCCAAGUCAGAGUAAACAUAUUACUGUCAGGAAGGGAAAAAUGUUUUAAGAAAGAAAAUCUUGACUAUGUAUCUGGGGAGGAGCCAAGAUGGCCGAAUAGGAACAGCUCCGGUCUACAGCUCCCAGCGUGAGCGACGCAGAAGA